rnacentral:rRNA from 1 species
UACGUAGGGGGCAAGCGUUGUCCGGAUUUAUUGGGCGUAAAGAGCGUGUAGGCGGCUUUGCAGGUCCGCUGUGAAAACUCGAGGCUCAACCUCGAGCUGUCGGUGGAAACCGUAAAGCUAGAGUCCGGAAGAGGAGAGUGGAAUUCCCGGUGUAGCGGUGAAAUGCGCUGAUAUCGGGAAGAACACCCGUGGCGAAGGCGGCUCUCUGGGCCGUAACUGACGCUGAGGCGCGAAAGCCAGGGGAGCAAACGGG